rnacentral:rRNA from 1 species
ACGUAAUAGAUACCCCGGUAGUCCACGCCCUAAACGAUGUCUACUAGUUGUCGGGUUUUAAUUAACUUGGUAACGCAGCUAAACGCGUGAAAGUAGACCGCCUGGGGAGUACGGUCGCAAGAUUAAAACUCAAAGGAAUUGACGGGGACCCGCACAAGCGGUGGAUGAUGUGGAUUAAUUCGAUGCAACGCGAAAAACCUUACCUACCCUUGACAUGGCAGGAAUCCUGAAGAGAUUUGGGAGUGCUCGAAAGAGAACCUGCACACAGGUGCUGCAUGGCUGUCGUCAGCUCGUGUCGUGAGAUGUUGGGUUAAGUCCCGCAACGAGCGCAACCCUUGUCAUUAGUUGCUACGAAAGAGCACUCUAAUGAGACUGCCGGUGACAAACCGGAGGAAGGUGGGGAUGACGUCAAGUCCUCAUGGCCCUUAUGGGUAGGGCUUCACACGUCAUACAAUGGUACAUACAGAGGGCCGCCAACCCGCGAGGGGGAGCUAAUCCCAGAAAGUGUAUCGUAGUCCGGAUUGUAGUCUGCAACUCGACUAC